rnacentral:rRNA from 1 species
UACGUAGGGGGCUAGCGUUGUCCGGAAUCAUUGGGCGUAAAGCGCGUGUAGGCGGUCCGGUAAGUCCGCUGUGAAAGUCGGGGGCUCAACCCUCGGAUGCCGGUGGAUACUGUCGGGCUUGAGUACGGAAGAGGCGAGUGGAAUUCCUGGUGUAGCGGUGAAAUGCGCAGAUAUCAGGAGGAACACCAAUUGCGAAGGCAGCUCGCUGGGACGUUACUGACGCUGAGACGCGAAAGCGUGGGGAGCAAACAGA